CGGUGUUCAACUGGCGUGUCCGCGGGACGUCCUGCCGGUGGGCUUAGCCCGCAAGGGCGGCCCAACUUCAAAUCCCAUCGCGGUGCUCUUCACUGAGUGUCGAGGUGGGCCGGCACGUUUACUUUGAACAAAUUAGAGUGCUUAAAGCAGGCUAAAACUUCGCCUGAAUACUGUGUGCAUGGAAUAAUGGAAUAGGACCUCGGUUCUAUUUUGUUGGUUUUCGGAACCCCGAGGUAAUGAUUAAUAGGAACGGAUGGGGGCAUUCGUAUUGCGACGUUAGAGGUGAAAUUCUUGGAUCGUCGCAAGACGGACAGAAGCGAAAGCAUUUGCCAAAAACGCUUUCAUUGAUCAAGAACAAAAGUUAGAGGUUCGAAGGCGAUCAGAUACCGCCCUAGUUCUAACCAUAAACGAUGCCAGCUAGCGAUCCGUCGACGUUCCUCCGAUGACUCGACGGGCAGCUUCCGGGAAACCAAAGCUUUUGGGUUCCGGGGGAAGUAUGGUUGCAAAGCUGAAACUUAAAGGAAUUGACGGAAGGGCACCACCAGGAGUGGAGCCUGCGGCUUAAUUUGACUCAACACGGGAAACCUCACCAGGCCCGGACACCGGAAGGAUUGACAGAUUGAGAGCUCUUUCUUGAUUCGGUGGGUGGUGGUGCAUGGCCGUUCUUAGUUGGUGGAGCGAUUUGUCUGGUUAAUUCCGAUAACGAACGAGACUCUAGCCUGCUAACUAGGCGUAUUUUCGACAUCUCAAAGGUCCGUCGUCCCGGCCCUCGGGUCGUGGGCGUGCGCGAUUUUUACUGUCGGCGUACUAUCAAUUCUUCUUAGAGGGACAGGUGGCUUCUAGCCGCACGAGAUUGAGCAAUAACAGGUCUGUGAUG
rnacentral:rRNA from 1 species